CGCGUAGGCGGCUUGACAAGCGUGCGGUGAAAGCUCGGGGCUCAACCCCGAGUCGGCCGUGCGAACUGCCGAGCUUGAGCACAGUAGAGGCAGAUGGAAUUCCGGGUGUAGCGGUGGAAUGCGUAGAGAUCCGGAAGAACACCGGUGGCGAAGGCGGUCUGCUGGGCUGUGUCUGACGCUGAGGCGCGACAGCGUGGGGAGCAAACAGGAUUAGAUACCCUGGUAGUCCACGCCGUAAACGAUGGGCACUAGAUGCUUGGGGGAGCGACCCCCUGAGUGUCGUCGCUAACGCAUUAAGUGCCCCGCCUGGGGAGUACGGCCGCAAGGCUGAA
rnacentral:rRNA from 1 species